rnacentral:rRNA from 1 species
GUCAGCGGCCAUAGGAAGGGGGUUCACCUGUUCCCAUCCCGAACACAGAAGUUAAGCCCCUUCACGGCAAUGCUUGUACUACCCUAUGGGUGGGAACUCAUGCUGCUGCUGAUA